AUGGAUCCGCUUGCUUGCUCAGAGCUUCUUGUUGGCGAGGCCGAGGGCGACGGAGACCAUCUGGGCGAGGUGGCGCUGCAUGACCUCGUAGGGCGACUUGACGUCGCGCUCCUCGUACCAGUUGUCGCAGUCGCCGGCGUAGGUGCUGGCCGCCGUCAUCUUCUCCACCAGGCUCUCGCUGCUGGUGCCGGGCUUGUGCAUCGCCCGGCUCACCCCCUCCAGCGCGUCCACCAGGUCGUCGUAGUUCUGCUCGCACGACCCCAGGAUGGACGCCAUCGGGUUCCCGGCCCCGGACGCCGCCUUGGCCGCGUCGAACGUCACCUUGGCCGCCCGCGCCCGCCCCAGCGCCACCCGCACCGCCGUCUCCAUCAGCGCCCGCGGCGUCGUCACCCCGGGCAGGUGCAGCAGCGUGUGGCACACCCUCUGGUACGCCUCCAGCUGGUCGCACGCCUGCACCGCCCCCGGGGCCGCGCCCGCCGUGUCCGCCGACGCCGCGCCGCCGCCGCCCAGCUUGGGCCCUUCCAGGAAGAUGAAGCCCUUCUUCUGGACGGACGCCUUGCUCUGCGAGACGGCGAGCCUCUUCUUCGGGAUGCUGAUCUUGCUCUGCGUGACGUCCAGCUUGCUGCCCCGGGCGGAGGCGUGGUCGGCCGGCGCCGCGUCGUGCCUCGCGAUGAAGAGCUUGCUGCCCCCGGCCAAGGCGUGGUCGGUCGGCGCCGCGUCGUGCCUCGCGAUGAAGAGCUUGCUGCCCCCGGCGAAGAUGUGGUCGGUCGCCGUGCCCUGCUUCGAGAUGUGCAGCUUUAUGCCCCGGGCGAAGACGAAGUCCUUGGUGAUGGCGUCGCCGUUGUGGGGCUGGCCGGCCUCGGCGGCGCCGGCGGCGAUGAAGAAGGCGACGGCGGCGAGGAGGAGGGUGGUGGUGGUCACGGAGAGCCGCGCCAUGUUUCCUGCUCCUUUCGGUCUCUUCUCGACCGCCCUCGUCGAGAGUUUAUUUAUCGGUGUGCGCGCGGGGAGGGCAGGCCAAAUAAAGACCGAGAGAGAGCAGGAGGCAGGCGACGGCUCGGCGGGAGGAUGCUGCAGGUUGACGGCCUCUGCAUCCCGAGUGUGUCGAAGUUAUAUAGGAAGGAUGGGCAAUUUAACCUGCGAGGAGAGCUAGCCCGGCGUGCAUGGCCAUGGCAUUUUAAGGUCUGGCCACGGGCUCGCCAUGGUUGUAGGAUGUCCAAACAUAGGCUGGCGAUAUCUUUUGCUUCGCGGAAUUUUUGCUUGCUUGGUGUGCAGGGGUUCCGCGUGGCUCUCGCACAACGCUGCAAGAUAUCCAUGCAUGGAUGCAAUCCAGCAACAUAUCUCGAUGAGAAGCAUUAUUGCCUAGGUUCUUGUUUUCUCUAA
rnacentral:rRNA from 1 species